rnacentral:rRNA from 1 species
CCUACGGGUGGCUGCAGUGGGGAAUAUUGCUCAAUGGGCGCAACCCUGAUCCAGCAACGCCGCGUGAGUGAAGAAGGAUUUCGAUAUGUAAAGCUCUAUCACCAGGGAAGAAGAUGACGGUACCUGAGUAAGUAGCCCCUGCUAAAUACGUGCCAGCAGCCGCGGUAAUACGGAGGGGGCGAGCGUUAUCCGGAUUUACUGGGUGUAAAGGGAGCGUAGAAGGUAUAGCAAGUCUGAAGUGAAAGCCCAAGGCUCAACCAUGGGACUGCUUUGGAAACUGUAAAGCUGGAGUGCUGGAGAGGUAAGCGGAAGUCCUAGUGUAGCGGUGAAAUGCGUAGAUAUUAGGAAGAACACCAGUGGCGAAGGCGGCUUACUGGACAGUAACUGACGUUGAGGCUCGAAAGCGUGGGGAGCAAACAGGAUUAGAUACCCCAGUAGUC